CGACUCUCGGCAACGGAUAUCUCGGCUCUUGCAUCGAUGAAGAACGUAGCGAAAUGCGAUACUUGGUGUGAAUUGCAGAAUCCCGCGAACCAUCAAUUCUUUGAACGCAAGUUGCGCCCGAAGCCAUUCGGCCGAGGGCACGCCUGCCUGGGUGUCGCGA
rnacentral:rRNA from 1 species